GAAAUGGCUCCCAUUGGACUCAGCCUGGCAAGUCAGGUCACGCAGAGUCACGGCAGCCACCGGGACAGACAAGCUCUGAAAGAGAGCACUGAUGUGAGGCACUACAGAAUAUCACAGUGUGAACAGCUGCUUUAGGACAUCGAGAGGCUGCUUGUUCUCACCCACAGAGGCCUGAGCCUGAUGAAUGGAGCUUGAUUACGUGGACCUCAGGGCUAGCCCCGCCUACAUGCAAGUGGGCACAACCGUGCACUUCCUGUGCCUGCAAGUCAGAGGUCAUGUAGUUGCGAGAGAUGAACAUGGACUGCAGCUGACACACAGCAGGCAGGUUUGGAUCUGUAAUAUGGAGACAAAGUAAGAGAAAGUUUUGAAAUGGAAGCUGACCUAAUGCAAAAGUCUGGUGGAAGCAAGAGGGGAAAUGACUCAUCAGACUCAUAAGUCGCCAGAUGUUUGCAGAUGUUUGGAUUCAUCAUUUGUUUAUUUUACCGUAAACUAUUUUUCAUUUGUGGAUAUUUUUGUGUAUAAAAACUGCAAAGCUUAAAUACAAAAUCACCACUAAAUUUGAUUUUUGAGUACAGGGAUGUGGGUUUGGUGGCUCACCCUCUCCCAGUUGAAGGUAGACUCGAUUGCCAUGUGAUGAGUGUGUCAGAGAGGACAGGUUGCCAUGAUGCUUCAGAGCCCAGCGAUGCAGCGCACGGGGACGAAAAGGCAACGAAUGCACCGUCUGGACGUGCAAACGCAGGGCGCUGGACUGUACGCUGGCGUUUGAGGACACCUAGCAGUUGAAGGCAAAUAUAUAAUGAAUGAAACUGCAUUGUGCGCCCAAUCAAAACUGCUUUUCUGCACACUGACUGACCUGCACCAGGAUCGGGAGGUUGGAGGGCAGUCUCUCGGCCUCCAACCACCAGGUAACUGGGACUUUGGAGAUGAGCACUAGGUGGACAACCCUCAGAGGAGAAGGAGACAGAGACAGAGGCUUCAUCAGCACUGUCACCUGUAGGGAGGAGAGGAAAAGGCAGUCCGCUGUACGUUCAGCACGUUAAAGGGCUUCCCAGCAGAUACAGUAGAAUAAAGGGGUAGCAGUUCAAGUUUUCACAAGAAAGAAGAAAUAAUUCUAUUGUAAGAGUCAAUGUUUCCUCAUUUUACAGCAUCAUCUCAAGUUGUGUUUUUUAACAUGGCAGUCAGUUCACUACACUCUCGUGGACUCUGUAGUCACAGAUCUCGAUCCAAAAGAUCACCUUUGGGAUGUGGUGGAAUCAGAGACGCAAAUGUGUGACGCUAUCGUCUCAAUAUGGACCAACAUCUCUGCAGCCCCCUGUUAAAGCUAAAGCUGUGCCUCAAGGAAGAAAGGUAGCUCUAAAGGCAAUGAAUCAAGCUCAGUGGUGCUACAGUGAAAUUCUGCAGCAGCACAGCCGGGGCCUGCCUCGAACCUUUCCAGCAGACCCUGAACAGGGUGUCGAGCGCCCACUGGACCGGCGACCGAGCACUGCGGCUCUCCACUCUGAGCUGGAGAGGAACAGUGCAUGCAUCACUACAAAAU